rnacentral:rRNA from 1 species
UGGGGAAUUUUGGACAAUGGGCGAAAGCCUGAUCCAGCCAUGCCGCGUGAGUGAAGAAGGCCUUCGGGUUGUAAAGCUCUUUCGGCUGGGAAGAAAUCGCACAGGCUAAUACUCUGUGUGGAUGACGGUACCAGCACAAGAAGCACCGGCUAACUCCGUGCCAGCAGCCGCGGUAAUACGUAGGGUGCGAGCGUUAAUCGGAAUUACUGGGCGUAAAGCGUGCGCAGGCGGUUGUGCAAGACAGAUGUGAAAUCCCCGGGCUCAACCUGGGAACUGCAUUUGUGACUGCACGACUAGAGUACGGCAGAGGGGGGUAGAAUUCCACGUGUAGCAGUGAAAUGCGUAGAGAUGUGGAGGAAUACCGAUGGCGAAGGCAGCCCCCUGGGCCGAUACUGACGCUCAUGCACGAAAGCGUGGGGAGCAAACA